AGACCUCUCCUUCAUCC
rnacentral:miRNA from 1 species